rnacentral:lncRNA from 1 species
ACCGUCCACAAAGGAUCACUAGAAGAUGCGAUUUGGGCCAUUUUUGAAACAGCGAGCAUCCACUUGUGCUGAUUCAUCCACAGAUUUUCCGGCCAGAUGCCCCAUUGGCAAAGCCCCGGAGCCUUCCUUUCAUUAGUUCUCCGCUCCAGCCAUCCGAGGAAUAUUGUGUUUUAGCCCCAAGGGUUUUCAAAUUAGUCCAUGAUUGGGGUAGAGCUGAAGAGAGGCCUGGUGAAGGGAGCCACCAGGCACUCCAUUGUUCUCUUGAUGACUUCACCUCAAG